AUGGGUAGGAGUGGGCGAGGAAUCUUUUUCUUUAUUUUCUCUCUUUUCUUUUCUUUCUUUUUUUCUUUUAUUUUCCUUUUCAUUUCCUGUCCUUUCCUGUCCUUUUUGUCUUUCUUUUUUAAGCAUGGACAGCCUGGUCCGAGUGUGCAAAGCUGUGGCUUCCCCUCCUGUGGAUGCCUUCUGAACAGCAGAUCUGACUUCCUCCUCAAACCAAGGCAUCCUGAAAACAUCCAAGCAGAGGAAGCAUUUUUUCACCAUGACAUGGGAAAGGGCCAUAGAGAUCCAAAUGGAAACGGACAUUUCAUAGUGUGUUUCACAAUGACAGAAGACGGGAUGAUAAAGUUAGGUUUUUGA
rnacentral:lncRNA from 12 species